rnacentral:lncRNA from 1 species
GGCAUUGUAGUAGCCACAUUUAUGUCGGAUGGCUUCUAUCUCGGCAGCUAUCUCCACCGGUACAUGUUUCUCUAGCGCUUCCGUUGACAGGCCAGACUUGGCUAUAAGCUUGGAACACACUGACCACAGUUGGAGCAGGUCCUGCUCGCGAGCUGUGACAAGGAUUCUCAUGGCGUCCUCGAUCGAUGCCUUCUCAGCCAUCGCAGCCAGCUCCUUCUGUUGUAAAGGUAAAGAAGUUGGAUUACUUAAAUCAUUGGCUUCUCUCUCUCUCUCUUUCUUACAGACCUGUACCAAGACGGAGAGCUCGUCAAUGCCAAACAUUUGAGCGGCAUGAAGGGCUUCCAGCGCGAAGUCGACCGCGGCUCUACAU